AGGAGCCGGUGCAUGCCCAGUAUUUGCCAACAGUGCGUGACAGAGACGUGACCGAUCGCCCGGGCGGCUAGCGAGCCGACCUUUUGGUGAAGAAUAUCAAGGAUAAGAGACGUGACCGGUCGCCCAAGCGGCUAACAAGCCGAUCAGUGGCGAAGAGGAUAAAAGGACACUGGAUACGGUGAUGUAAAAUUGCGCAAUGUAUUAUUUGAAGGUUGUGGAGGUGGAAGUGCAGGUAUUGACUAAUUGGACUACUGAUGGGCCGGAUUGGAGUUUUUGGAAUGGUAGGCGGCAGUGAUGGUGGAAGAGGCAGUGGUUACUCGGCGACGGAGUUGGGAGCGAAAGGUGGAGCGAGUGGUGUAGGGUAUGUUCCUCGUGGUAAGAGUAAGGAAGGAGACGACCAAGUAUUGUGCAUUUACCUCGGCAGUUACGAAGAGGAUGGGCCGCGAAGAAAGGAAGAGGCACGUCGACGACGGAGCCGGGAAUAACCGCGCAGGUUGCUCCAUACCAAGAGUGUUUUUAUUGAAGCGACGGGGCGUAGUCGCUGUAAGGAGCCGAGAAGAUGAUGUCCUGUGAAGGUAUAGCCGUCGUCCCUGUGACUGGAGCCGAGAAGAAGGCGUCCUGUGAACGUAUAGCCGUCGUCCCAUUGACCGGGGUGUAUGGAGCUGAGAAGAUGGUGUCCAGUGAAGGUAUAGCUGUCGUCCUUGUGACUGGAGCAGAGAAGGCGUCCUGUGAACGUAUAGCCGUCGUCCCAUUGACCGGGGUGUAUGGAGCUGAGAAGAUGGUGUCCAGUGAAGGUAUAGCUGUCGUCCUUGUGACUGGAGCAGAGAAGGUGUCCUGUGAACUUGUAGUCGUGUUCCAGUGACCAAGGUGUAUGGAGCCGAGAAGAUGAUGUCCUGUGAAGGUAUAGGUGUCGUCCCCGUGACUGGAGCCGAGAAGAUGUCCUGUGAACCUAAUAGCUGUGGUCCCAGUGAGGGGUGUAUGGAGCCGAGAAGAUGAUGUCCUGUGAAGGUAUAGCCGUCGUCCCAUUGACCAGGAUGUAUGGAGCCGAGAAGAUGGUGUCCAG